rnacentral:rRNA from 1 species
CAGUAGCCGCGGGAAUACGAAGGGUGCAAGCGUUACUCGGAAUUACUGGGCGUAAAGCGUGCGUAGGUGGUGGUUUAAGUCCGUUGUGAAAGCCCUGGGCUCAACCUGGGAAUUGCAGUGGAUACUGGGUCACUAGAGUGUGGUAGAGGAUAGUGGAAUUUCCGGUGUAGCAGUGAAAUGCGUAGAGAUCGGAAGGAACAUCUGUGGCGAAGGCGACUAUCUGGGCCAACACUGACACUGAGGCACGAAAGCGUGGGGAGCAAACAGGAUUAGAUACCCGGGUAGUCCCUGUCUCUUAUCC